UUGUAUUUCUGUUAAAUUUAUUUUUUACUUUUAGAGUGGCUAUCAUUAUAAUGUAAUUUAAAAUUAUAUUUGUAAAAGUGACUAUUGGAGUGAGUACGAAUUUUGUUUAUAAAUCUAUGAUAAAUGCAUUCUCCCUUUAGGAGGUAGAAAAGUAUAGAGCUGUAUAUAAUAAGCUUCGCUAUGAACAUACAUUUCUCAAGUCAGAAUUUGAACACCAGAAGGAAGAGUAUGCACGUAUUUUAGAUGAAGGAAAAAUAAAAUAUGAAUCAGAGAUUGCAAGACUGGAGGAAGAUAAAGAAGAACUACGUAACCAGCUGCUUAAUGUUGAUCUCACAAAAGACAGCAAACGAGUGGAACAACUUGCUCGAGAAAAAGUCUAUUUGUGUCAAAAAUUAAAAGGUUUAGAGGCUGAAGUAGCGGAAUUAAAGGCUGAAAAGGAGAAUUCUGAGGCUCAGGUGGAAAAUGCCCAAAGAAUACAGGUGCGGCAGUUGGCUGAGAUGCAGGCUACAGUCAGAUCCCUGGA
rnacentral:lncRNA from 1 species